rnacentral:rRNA from 1 species
CCGGCACGGGUGAGUAACACGUAUCCAACCUGCCGUCUACUCUUGGCCAGCCUUCUGAAAGGAAGAUUAAUCCAGGAUGGCAUCAUGAGUUCACAUGUCCGCAUGAUUAAAGGUAUUUUCCGGUAGACGAUGGGGAUGCGUUCCAUUAGAUAGUAGGCGGGGUAACGGCCCACCUAGUCAACGAUGGACAGGGGUUCUGAGAGGAAGGUCCCCCACAUUGGAACUGAGACACGGUCCAA